rnacentral:rRNA from 1 species
UACGUAGGGUGCAAGCGUUAAUCGGAAUUACUGGGCGUAAAGCGUGCGCAGGCGGUUUUGUAAGUCUGUCGUGAAAGCCCCGGGCUCAACCUGGGAAUUGCGAUGGAGACUGCAAGGCUAGAGUGUGUCAGAGGGGGGUAGAAUUCCACGUGUAGCAGUGAAAUGCGUAGAUAUCCGGAGGAACACCAGUGGCGAAGGCGACUUCCUGGCCUGUUCUUGACGCUGAGGCGCGAAAGCUGGGGGGGCAAACGGG